UACAGAGGUCUCAAGCGUUGUUCGGAUUCAUUGGGCGUAAAGGGUGCGUAGGCGGCGCGAUAAGUCGGGUGUGAAAUCUCGGAGCUUAACUCCGAAACUGCAUUCGAUACUGCCGUGCUUGAGGACUGGAGAGGAGACUGGAAUUUACGGUGUAGCGGUGAAAUGCGUAGAUAUCGUAAGGAAGACCAGUGGCGAAGGCGGGUCUCUAGACAGUUCCUGACGCUGAGGCACGAAGGUCAGGGGAGCAAACGGG
rnacentral:rRNA from 1 species